rnacentral:lncRNA from 1 species
AACUGAAAGGACAUCUCAUGGAGCACCGUGACCUGCCCUUGGAGGGCUCUCCUUAGACUGUGACUUCAUGCUCUGCUAUCUUAUCCGAGACCCCUACAUUUGGGAUUUCCCAUCCAGCCUGUCUCCCACUGAGCGCUUUGGAGCGGGCUCCCUUUUGCCCGGCAGGAGCAGCACCAAGCCCAGCAGAGUGGCUCCUGGUUGUCCCACCGGCUGCAAGCACCCGAUCCUGCUUGCUCCUGCCCGCACCUCCCUCGCCGUGCUGCCUGCACCUCCCCGUGAUAGAGGAACAAUGACCCGGGACAAGACCAAACCCGGUGUGGUUCUCUUUCCUCCUUCGGCUCUGCUGAAGACCACAGGAAUUACCCCAGGGAGCUUUGGCAAAGCUUGGCAACUUGUGGCACACCUCUUUAUGGAGCACCAGCAUCUCAGGAGGAUUGAACCAAUAUCACUACAGUGGCGUAGCUGGAUUGCUGACAGACGUCUGCAUCUGGGCACUGCAUCCAAAAAGGACAGCAUCACUCUUCCAUCCCCUCCCCAUCUUGUCUCUGGUGUUGGAUGGAGUGACCAUGCGAUCAGCUGGGAGC